CAGGCCUAACACAUGCAAGUCGGACGGUAACAUGAGGUGCUUGCACUUUGAUGACGAGUGGCGCACGGGUGCGCAACGCGUAUAGAACCUACCCUGUACAGGGGGAUAGCCCAGAGAAAUUUGGAUUAAUACCCCGUGGUAAAUAUAAAUGGCAUCAUUUAUAUUUUAAAGUUUUCGGACGGUACGGGAUGGCUAUGCGUCCUAUUAGUUAGAUGGUGAGGUAACGGCUCACCAUGGCAGCGAUAGGUAGGGGCCCUGAGAGGGGGAUCCCCCACACUGGUACUGAGACACGGACCAGACUCCUACGGGAGGCAGCAGUGAGGAAUAUUGGACAAUGGGCGCAAGCCUGAUCCAGCCAUGCCGCGUGCAGGAAGACGGCCCUAUGGGUUGUAAACUGCUUUUAUACGGGAAGAAUAAGGGACACGUGUGUCCUGGUGACGGUACCGUAAGAAUAAGGACCGGCUAACUCCGUGCCAGCAGCCGCGGUAAUACGGAGGGUCCGAGCGUUAUCCGGAAUUAUUGGGUUUAAAGGGUCCGCAGGCGGGCAAUUAAGUCAGGGGUGAAAUGGUGCGGCUCAACCGUAGCACUGCCCUUGAUACUGGUUGUCUUGAGUCAUAGUGAAGUGGCCGGAAUAUGUAGUGUAGCGGUGAAAUGCAUAGAUAUUACAUAGAACACCGAUUGCGAAGCAGGUCACUAACUAUCGACUGACGCUGAUGGACGAAAGCGUGGGGAGCGAACGGGAUUAGAUACCCCGGUAGUCCACGCCGUAAACGAUGGAUACUAGCUGUCCGCUGCCUUGAGCAGUGGGCGGCCCAGCGAAAGUGAUAAGUAUCCCACCUGGGGAGUACGUUCGCAAGAAUGAAACUCAAAGGAAUUUGACGGGGGCCCGCACAAGCGGUGGAGCAUGUGGUUUAAUUCCGAUGAUUAC
rnacentral:rRNA from 1 species